AUGUUUAUUGUCCCCUCUCGCUCGGUCUGGACUCUGCAGGUAGGGCGGGCUCUUUUUCUGAGUGAGAACACCGUGAGGCUCGGGAAUUUUAUGUUGACGGAGGUCACAGGAGAUUCCAGGUGGAACAGGCUUGCCCUCCCCUCCCCUCUCCUGGUGCAGAGGCCUGUGCUUGGGGCUGCCUUUCCCCUAACCGGUCUCCAUCUGGCUUCCCACUCAAGCCAGGCCCGCGACCAAGCUGCACUUGCUCGCACUUGCCCGUGGCCCCUGUGGGUGUUUCCCAGACGGUGGUACUUGCCCUCGGUGCUCCUCUCCUGCCACAAUCCCAGAGAGCUCCGGGCAGAUGUUCAGGCGGAUGUGUUUCUGUCACUUUGCGUCCCUCGGUCACAGUCACGGGGGAAUGAAGUGUCCUCAAGCCUGGUUCCUGUCCAGCCGGCUGGCUGGGCCCUGCUCGCAUGGUGCUAAGCAGCAGAAGAGCGUCCUGCCCAGGCCUGGGGCAGAGGCGCAGCACCCUUUGAGAUGCCACCCCAGAUGGGUUCCGCUGGCCCUUCCCCGCCACCGAGGGGUCAACUCUUGGAAGCUGCAAGGGCAAGAGGGGUCCCCGAGGGUCGCAGACCUGAGCUGCUUACGUGAACGCUCGCUCCAGCACUGACUCAGACAUCGGUUUCUCCAUCUGAUAAAGUGCCUUUGCUCGGAAGCCAGGCCGAGACCAAGAGGACGGCGAGUUUCACUGUAGACGGAGCCACCCUGGAGGUGACAAGCAUGGGGAAGGACGAUCACCUCCUUGCGAAUUAAUUCACCAAGAACUUUGACGCGUAAGCCACCACGAAGGCGCGCCGUCUUGACUCAGAGUGAGACAUUCAGCUGUGCCCUUCGGUGCUGCGCCUCCAAUCCCGGUCGUGAAUAAACAUCUGUAGGAGAUUGGUUUUAUUUUCCGA
rnacentral:lncRNA from 12 species